rnacentral:rRNA from 1 species
UGGGGUAUAUUGGACAAUGGGCGCAAGCCUGAUCCAGCCAUGCCGCGUGAGUGAUGAAGGUCCUAGGGUUGUAAAGCUCUUUCACCGGUGAAGAUAAUGACGGUAACCGGAGAAGAAGCCCCGGCUAACUACGUGCCAGCAGCCGCGGUAAUACGAAGGGCGCUAGCGUUGUUCGGAUUUACUGGGCGUAAAGUGCACGUAGGCGGACUAUUAAGUCAGGGGUGGAAUCCCGGGGCUCAACCCCGGACCUGCCUUUGAUACUGGUAGUCUUGAGUUCGGAAGGGGGGAGUAGAAUUCCGGGUGUAGAGGGGGAAUUCGUAGAUAUUCGGAGGAACGCCAGUGGCGAAGGCGGCUCACUGGCUCGAUACUGACGCUGUGGUGCGAAAGCGUGGGGAGCAAACGGG